rnacentral:RNase_P_RNA from 1 species
CGGGCAGGCAGAAGGCGGUCGCUCCCGCUUGGUAAAAGAGAGGGAGAGGAAAGUCCGGGCUCCAGAGGAUAGCGCGCUCUGUAACACAGAGUUGCCCGAAGGCCAGGCUGAGUUUAACUUCAUAAAGUGACAGUUACUCCUGGUCUGGCCGCAGGGUACAGGAAAGUGCCGCAGAAAACAGACAGCCCCCGCCGGACGAGUCAGCGGGAGCGAAGGUGAAAAGGUGGUGUAAGAGACCACCGGGCAUGCCCCGUUCGUGCAUGCACUGACGGGGUGCGACAGUGAUGUCGGCCGCAUGGUAAACCCCGCGCGGAGCAAUGUCGAUAGGAGACCAGUCCGCAGGCGCGUUGUUUCAGGCAGGGCGCUUACGCGGCGCGUGCUGAUCCGGCACGUUACGAGUCUCGGGUAGACUGCUGGAGUCCCCGCGGCAACACGGGGACCAAGAGGAAUGGUCGCCUCAGAUGUGGAAACUCACAUCAGCACAAAACCCGGCUUAUUCUGCCUGCCCGUUAU